rnacentral:rRNA from 2 species
GUGGACUACCAGGGUAUCUAAUCCUGUUUGCUCCCCACGCUUUCGUGCAACAGCGUCAGUAACUGCCCAGAUAACCGCUUUCGCCUCCGGUGUUCCUCCUAAUAUCUACGAAUUUCACCCCUACACUAGGAAUUCCGCUAUCCCCUACAGUACUCAAGCCUAGCAGUUUCAAAAGCAAUUCUUAGGUUAAGCCCAAGGCUUUCACUUUUGACUUACUAAGCAGCCUACGCACGCUUUACGCCCAAUAAUUCCGAGUAACGCUAGCCCCCUUCGUAUUACCGCGGCUGCUGGCACGAAGUUAGCCGGGACUUCUU